rnacentral:rRNA from 1 species
CCUACGGGUGGCAGCAGUGGGGAAUAUUGCACAAUGGGGGAAACCCUGAUGCAGCCAUGCCGCGUGAGUGAAGAAGGAUUUCUGUAUUUAAAGCUCUAUCAGCAGGGAAGAAAAUGACGGUACCUGUUUAAGAAUCACCGGCUAAGUACGUGCCAGCAGCCGCGGUAAUACGUAGGCGGCAAGCGUUAUCCGGAUUUACUGGGUGUUAAGGGAGCGUAGGCGGGAGCACAAGUCUGGAGUGAAAUGCCGGGGCUUAACCCCGGAACUGCUUUGGAAACUGUGCAGCUAGAGUGCAGGAGAGGUAGGUGGAAUGCAUGGUGUAGCGGUGAAAUGCGUAGAUAUUAGGCGGAACACCAGUGGCGAAGGCGGCUUACCGGACUGCAACUGACGUUGAGGCACGAAAGCGUGGGGAGCAAACAGGAUUAGAUACCCUAGUAGUC